rnacentral:lncRNA from 1 species
UUUUCAUUUCGUUGAUUCUGUGGUACAACUUUCAAAUCCUUAUAGAGUUUCAUUUCCUAUGUACUAGGUGCAAACAGCAGUUAAUGGCCUCCGCCAGAGUGCAGCCACUAGAACUAAUCGAUUACAACAGGAGAUGUCGACAAUGCAAGUUGCAACUGCAUCUGUUGAAGCAGAAUGGACAAAUUACAUGGAGCAGGCUGAAUCCCAGUAUAUUGAGGAUAAUGGUGCUGUGGAAAGUGGGAAAAAGGAAAUGGAAGUGGUUCUUCAGAACUGGUAUCGGUUGCUGCCUAUGUUUCUUUUAUGCAUUAUCAACUUGCUAUGGCUGUUGAAGUCUGAAUUCUCCCCUAAGUGUCUCUCGUGAAAUUAAUUUACUUUUGCAGCUUGCAAAAGGCAAAAUUGGGUGCACAACAGUGGAGUGAUGCCCAAGAAUCCUUGUUCAAUUUAGAGAAGAGGAACGUGGAUUCUGCCGAUAGCAUAGUGAGGUUAAUACCCAACAAGGUGCUUCUCUAGUUUUUGAAAAUGAUUAUGAAUACUCACUUCAAGUAACCUUUUGUAUUUCCCAUAGGCGAGGAAUGGAUGCCAAUCAAUCCUUACGUGCACGCUUUUCUUCAGCCGUGUCAUCCGCCCUUGAAGAUGCUGAUGUCGCAAGCAGGAAUCUCCUUUCUUCUAUUGACCGUAAGUCAUCCCAUGAAUUACAUAUGACAAUCGAAACUAUUUAAGCAUUGGUAUAUAAUCUUGUUUUCCAAAAGGGCUCAUAAUUUUACUGAACAAAUCCUUGCAGAUUCACUGCAACUUGACAACGACGCAUGUGGUAAUCUUGAUUCACUGAUUGUUCCUUGCUGCGGUGAGCUGAGGGAACUGAAGUGUGGACAUCACCACAAAAUUGCGGAAAUCACAGAAAAUGCAGGAAAAUGUCUUCUAGAAGAAUA